UCAGACGGGACUGGACGGGGCGAACCAUUUUCUCACAGAAGCUGGUCCAAAGGAGCUGUUUUGCUCAUUUAUGACAGCACCGGUGGUAGGUACCAAUCUUCUCCAGCACACCUCCUCCCACUCAUCCUUCUUCAUAUACAAGUCAACCAGGCAGAUCUUCUGAGCCAACUAAUCCAGACUAGGGCCACAAAUCCUUCCGGAGAGCAUGUCUGCAUCAUCAUCAUCAAGCGGCUUCGAGCAACUCCCGCCGCUAAUCAGCUGCCCUCAGUGCGGCGGUAGGAUCUUCACCUGGAUUGCUCGGGUGGGGCAGAAUGCAGGCAUUCAUUUCUACAAGUGUGUCAACAAGGAUUGUAUGAUUUGCUUUGUUCUUGCAGUCUGGAAUUUGCAACUACAUGAGGACCAAGGAGAAGUACCUUGCAGAGUUAAGCUUUCAUUUGGGGAUGACACAACAGACUGGAUACGACAGCAGCCAGGCCGGAUCGGUUAUGAACUGCAGAGUCCGUGUGGUCGAGCAGCAGCGCAGUGUUCCAGCCGUAGGCCAAGCCAUCAGGGUUAAUCAAGCAGGCUCUUCCGUCGCCGCGCUCUGUGUUCUUGUGUUCUUGGAUGCUGCCAUACUCUUUGUGGGUGUCUUAUUUUCAUGGCGUUGCUGAAAGGAGUGUCACUCCUUAGCAGGUAGACGGUGGUCUUGGUCUUCUUGCCAGACUAGAAAUAAUGAUUAGGAUGGGUGAAGUGUGUCUUUUGUAACCCAGUCGUUGGUGAUCAGAAUCUGGUAGUGCGUCCUUUGUAUUGAAGUGGUUGGUAAUGAGAAUCUGGAAGCUUGUACUUUGUAUCCCAGUGGUUGCUAAUGAGAAUUGACUGUGGUU